rnacentral:rRNA from 1 species
GAUCAUGGCUCAGGAUGAACGCUAGCUACAGGUUUAACACAUGCAAGUCGAGGGGGAAACGACAUCGAAAGCUUGCUUUUUGGUGGGCGUCGACCGGCGCACGGGUGAGUAACGCGUAUCCAACCUUCCCCUGUCCACGGGAUAGCCCGUCGAAAGGCGGAUUAAUACCGUAUGAAGUCACACGAUGGCAUCAGACUGUGACGAAAGGUUUUUGCGGACAGGGAUGGGGAUGCGUCCGAUUAGGUAGUCGGCGGGGUAACGGCCCACCGAGCCGACGAUCGGUAGGGGUUCUGAGAGGAAGGUCCCCCACAUUGGAACUGAGACACGGUCCAAACUCCUACGGGAGGCAGCAGUGAGGAAUAUUGGUCAAUGGGCGAGAGCCUGAACCAGCCAAGUAGCGUGCAGGAUGACGGCCCUAUGGGUUGUAAACUGCUUUUAUAAGGGAAUAAAGUGGGUCACGUGUGACUUUUGCAUGUACCUUAUGAAUAAGGACCGGCUAAUUCCGUG